rnacentral:misc_RNA from 1 species
UAAUAUAAAUCCAGCUAAGGCCGUGCAUGGGGUCUUUAUCAGCAAUUUUAUGUAUUUGAUUGGUAACAUCCCACUAAGUAUCUGCUGUUGCGUCUUGGAGCAGAUUGAUAAGUUGUUCUUUGCUGAAUGAUUGAAGAAUUUUCUCUAUGGGUUUAUUUUUUUUGUAAUAGUUUCUGUAGAGAAACUUCUUAAACCAUUCGGUAAAUAAUAAUUUAUAAAUCUAUUUUGGGAUGCAACAGAUGCACUAGAAGAUUUUCGUGCACG